rnacentral:lncRNA from 1 species
CGGGUCCAAGUCUUUUCCAACCAAAGAAACAUGAGGGUGAAGGAAGAAAUAGCAAUGGGCCAAAGUUCUUGGUCAAAAGGCCCCAUUUCCUGCCCUCAUCUGGCGUCCGUGAAAUAUAAUAAGAUGGAGUCGAAUCGAAACCAGAAAACUAGCCUGUAUCGGUUGCGUCGCGACGAGGUAAUGAGUUCUUCUUCCUCCUUUCUUUCGAUUUUCUCAAGUUUUUGCGUUUUCUAUUAUGCGGUUCUGAUUCUUCUUCUAUUCGUGUUGUGGUUGUAGGGAUGAAAGAAGCUCUGAUACGGUUAUGGAGUUCGAGAUUUUUCGAUUGUGGAAGAUGCCUUUUGUUGAUGAGGGUUCUCAAGGUUGUUGAAAGUUUGUGGAGGCGUAAAGUUAUGGAAGUUGAUAUCGAUUCUGCAGAGUGAUGGUGAAGGAGUUUUAUUGAUUUGAAGGUUGAGUUUUUGACAGUGAAGAAGAUUGAAGCUUUUGGCAGUGAAAAAGAUUGAAGCUUUUGGUAGUGACCAAGAUUGAAGCUUCAAUGAGGUUAGCUUUUAUAACAAUCUCUCUCUCCAAAAUCAGUUAGAAACUCAACUUAAAUUCCAAAGAAAUUCAAUCUAAAUUCACUUCAAACCCACAAAACAGUUAGGGUAGUUAGUAUCCAAUUCUGUUAUGAAACUGCUUAUGAGUUUGUUGGAAGGAUGAAAUUGGUUAAAACUUAGUUAUGUAGGUUGUUGUUAGCAUGAGUUGGGUUAAGAUUGGUUAGUAGUUAAAGCAUUUUGAUUCAGUUAAAAUAAAAAUGAUGAAAUCUGAUGGUUAUAAACGAAUUAUGAAACUGAGUUAUUUAAGUUUGUUUUUGCUGUAACUGAUUUUCUAGUCAUGUCUAAUCUCGAGCUCUUAAUAAUAGUUAAUGUUAAUGAGAGUUAGUUUGAUUUUCUAUGGAAAAUGUUAAGUCGGAUUGCUGUAACUGAUUUUCUAGUCAUGUCUAAUCUCGAGCUCUUAAUAAUAGUUAAUGUUAAUGAGAGUUAGUUUGAUUUUCUAUGGAAAAUGUUAAGUCGGUUAAAGUGUUAUGCUGCAGAACUAUUGUUGAUUAUCACUGAUGCAAUAUUUGUAAGAAAACAUGAUACACAGGAGAACCAGCACGAUUGUUAUCUCAGGAAUUGAAAAUUACAACUGAAGCUUCCUCUCGAAGUACCAUUUUUCUUUUAGGAUGAGUGGAGACACAACCAAAGCUUAAAUAUGCUCCUUAUGAUAGUGUAUUGAAGGCGUCCAAGUUUGAUUUCUGUUUCAGCUCUAACAUAUUAGUUUUGGAAAUGUGUAUGAAAAUGUAUGUUAUACUUGAAUGGUAAUCAUGAAUAGAACUACGAAAAUGAAUUUGAGUGGAAUGGUUUGGAUGCAAAAAAUGAAUGGACAAGGCUAAACACAACUAUAUAAGUUGUAUGGAUAAAAGGCCUUGAAAAUGACUUGGGGGAAAAUAGUUGUCUUUGGCAACUGGUUGACCAAAAAGUCAACUGGUUGACCAGAAAGCCAACUGUUGAACAAAGUUCCCAAAUUUUGUACUUUUUUAUGUAAUGAACAAAGUGAUGGCAUGUAAUGUCUAUUGGAAUGAAGUCUUGGUGAAUUUGAAUGGGUAUAAUACUUGAAUUUGUAUGGAAUUUGAAUCUUGUACGAACCAGAUGUUGUGAUGGAUGCAUUUGAACAUAGGCUUUAUAAUUUGGAUGGAAAUGAUUUGAAUAAAGACUUGUAAUUCGAACAG